rnacentral:rRNA from 1 species
GGUGGUAUCUGCCCUGCACUUCGGGAUAAGCUUGGGAAACUGGGUCUAAUACCGGAUAGGAACCAUCUUUAGUGUGGUGGUUGGAAAGUUUUUUCGGUGUAGGAUGAGCUCGCGGCCUAUCAGCUUGUUGGUGGGGUAAUGGCCUACCAAGGCGGCGACGGGUAGCCGGCCUGAGAGGGUGUACGGCCACAUUGGGACUGAGAUACGGCCCAG